rnacentral:lncRNA from 1 species
CAGUUAAAAUUUCUGUUCAAACCAGUUAAUCUCUAAUUAAUUUUUAUUCCGUAUUCCAGACUUCGUAACUCUAAACAAAUUUGCACCGAAAUUUUUUAUGGAUUGCAGUAAUCUGACCCGAACUUUAUUCAAAUAAAUGUAUAGUAAAUAUCUUUGAGUAUCAAUAAUUGAAUCAUGCAUGCAAUAAACAACUUCCCAAGAAUGCAAAAAUGUUUCUAGUUAACUUCCAAGAAUCUUGGCUUUCUAAGUUUAAGCUUCAAGUAAAGAAUUGCAUAUUGACACAUGCACUUAAGGUUUCUUAUAAAUAGUAGUAGGUUUAAAUAGAAACUCUCAAACAUUUUUCACUAAACCAUGAGGACCUCCUCCUAUUCUUUCCUAUUUCUCACAAUUCUUCAUGUUCUUUUGCCUAGUCUGAUCACUAACCACCACCACUCCGCGGCAGCGCUGCCACUCUCCACCGAUACCCGAUGGAUAGUUAACGAGUCCGGCCAACGAGUCAAGCUGUCAUGCGUAUCUAACAUUCCCCCUCACUCGAGAGCCCAUUUAUGGGUCGAAGAGUGGAUCACGGGCGCUCAUCUUUAGAGCAUUAAUUUGCCAUUCGUGCCACGAUAAAUUGUGAGAAUAUUGGGGGUGGCAGGGAUCGAACCUGAGUCCUCUGCCAGAGCUCUGAUACCAUGUCAAGUGACCAAUUCUCCUAAAACCUCGAGGUGUUAGGAGGAGGGCUUACCAGGAUCAUAUUCUAACAUUCCCCCUCACUCGAAAGCCCAUUUAUAGGUCGAGAGUGGAUCACGGGCGCCCAUAUUUUUGGGGCAUAACUUGUCUUCGUGUCCUUAAUAAAUUCUGAGAAUAUUGGGGGUCACAGGGAGUCGAAUUCGAGUCUCCCGCGAGCCUAAGCUCUGAUACCAUGUUAAGGAACCAGUUACUCUAAAACCUCAAGGUGUUAGAGAAUGGCCCUUUCCAGGAUCUUAUAUUCUAACACCAAAUUAUAUAAUUACAAUGUCAAUACAUUUUGCAUUAACAUGUCGAAUCAAAUCAAUGCAGAUCGAGAGCUAACGUGGUUGUUUGCUCACACGAGACAAAAUUACAGCAAUGUGCGCCAAAAAGAACUCCUAAUUAAUCACUAAAAUUAUUACUACUAAUCAACUCAUAAGAUUAGUAAAGAAAUGAGAAAACUCUCAAGCAAAUAGUAGUAGUUGAAGUGCCUUGCAAGGCCUUCCAAAACCUUCAAAAAUCCUGAAAAUUUGGUGACUCGCUUCUUAAUUGCUUCAAGGCAUGGCUAAACUUCAAAAUUCACAACCGAAAGGCAUGGGACUUGAUGUUCGAUACUCAUUACUCACCAUGCCUAUACGUGAAUUCAUAUUCAAAUUUCCAAUUCCGAAAUCCUAACAUAUCGUAGGGAUUAUUUCAAAAGUUGAUGAUUAAUCACGAUUAGUUAUCGAUUCAUCCAAAUUUCAAAUCAAUAUUAUAUUUAAUUUUUCAAUUAAUCAUCCAGUUAAAAUUUCUGUUCAAACCAGUUAAUCUCUAAUUAAUUUUUAUUCCGUAUUCCAGACUUCGUAACUCUAAACAAAUUUGCACCGAAAUUUUUUAUGGAUUGCAGUAAUCUGACCCGAACUUUAUUCAAAUAAAUGUAUAGUAAAUAUCUUUGAGUAUCAAUAAUUGAAUCAUGCAUGCAAUAAACAACUUCCCAAGAAUGCAAAAAUGUUUCUAGUUAACUUCCAAGAAUCUUGGCUUUCUAAGUUUAAGCUUCAAGUAAAGAAUUGCAUAUUGACACAUGCACUUAAGGUUUCUUAUAAAUAGUAGUAGGUUUAAAUAGAAACUCUCAAACAUUUUUCACUAAACCAUGAGGACCUCCUCCUAUUCUUUCCUAUUUCUCACAAUUCUUCAUGUUCUUUUGCCUAGUCUGAUCACUAACCACCACCACUCCGCGGCAGCGCUGCCACUCUCCAC